GGAGGAGCCAGCCGAUGUGGUGACGGCACCCCGUUCGAAGCGGGACGAGCUCGACAGCCUUGGGGGUUCGACUCCCUCCUCCUCCGCCA
rnacentral:tRNA from 1 species